UACAGAGGGUGCGAGCGUUAAUCGGAUUACUGGGCGUAAAGCGUGCGUAGGUGGUGAUUUAAGUUAGAUGUGAAAACCCUGGGCUUAACCUAGGAAUGGCAUUUGAUACUGAGUCACUUGAGUACUGUAGAGGAAAGUGGAAUUUCAGGUGUAGCGGUGAAAUGCGUAGAUAUCUGAAGGAACAUCAGUGGCGAAGGCGACUUUUCUGGGCAGACACUGACACUGAGGCACGAAAGCGUGGGGAGCAAACAGG
rnacentral:rRNA from 1 species